rnacentral:rRNA from 1 species
AUUGAACGCUGGCGGAAUGCUUUACACAUGCAAGUCGAACGAUGAACCUUAGCUUGCUAAGGGGAUUAGUGGCGAACGGGUGAGUAAUGUAUCGGAACGUAUCCAAUAAUGGGGGAUAACUAGUCGAAAGAUUAGCUAAUACCGCAUACGUCCUACGGGAGAAAGCUAGGGACCUUCGGGCCUGGCGUUAAUGGAGCGGCCGAUAUCUGAUUAGCUAGUUGGUGGGGUAAAGGCUCACCAAGGCGACGAGCAGUAGCUGGUCUGAGAGGACGACCAGCCACACUUGAACCGAGACACGGUCCAGACUCCUACGGGAGGCAGCAGUGGGGAAUUUUGGACAGUGGGCGAAAGCCUGAUCCAGCCAUUCCGCGUGAGUGAAGAAGGCCUUCGGGUUGUAAAGCUCUUUCGCAAGAGAAGAAAACUUAAGCUCUAACAUAGCUUGAGGUUGACGGUACCUUGAUAAGAAGCACCGGCUAACUACGUGCCAGCCGCCGCAGUAA